rnacentral:tRNA from 1 species
GUGGUUAGCUCAGCUGGUUAGAGCGCCUGUUUUACACACAGGAGGCCGGGGGUUCGAGUCCCUCACUACCC